GACGAACGCUGGCGGCGUGCUUAACACAUGCAAGUCGAACGGAAAGGCCCUGCUUUUGUGGGGUGCUCGAGUGGCGAACGGGUGAGUAACACCUGAGUAACCUGCCCUUGACUUUGGGAUAACUUCAGGAAACUGGGGCUAAUACCGGAUAGGAGCUCCUGCUGCAUGGUGGGGGUUGGAAAGUUUCGGCGGUUGGGGAUGGACUCGCGGCUUAUCAGCUUGUUGGUGGGGUAGUGGCUUACCAAGGCUUUGACGGGUAGCCGGCCUGAGAGGGUGACCGGCCACAUUGGGACUGAGAUACGGCCCAGACUCCUACGGGAGGCAGCAGUGGGGAAUAUUGCACAAUGGGCGGAAGCCUGAUGCAGCAACGCCGCGUGCGGGAUGACGGCCUUCGGGUUGUAAACCGCUUUCGCCUGUGACGAAGCGUGAGUGACGGUAAUGGGUAAAGAAGCACCGGCUAACUACGU
rnacentral:rRNA from 1 species